ACACGUAGGGGCCUGACGUUGUUCGGAAUCAUUGGGCGUAAAGGGCGCGCAGGCGGCCGUCCAAGUCCGGUGUUAAAUGGUCGGGCUCAACCCGAUCAUGCGCUGGAAACUGGGCGGCUGGAGUCCCGGAGGGGAUGCCGGAAUUCCAGGUGUAGGGGUGAAACCUGUAGAUAUCUGGAAGAACACCGAUGGCGAAGGCAGGCAUCUGGCCGGAGACUGACGCUGAGGCGCGAAGGCGCGGGGAGCGAACAGGUUUAGAUACCCUGGUAGUCCGCGCAGUAAACGAUGCGCACCAGGUGUCGGGCGGCAGCGCCCGGUACCGGAGCAAACGCGAUGAGUGCGCCGCCUGGGGAGUAUGCCCGCAAGGGUGAAACUCAAAUGAAUUGACGGGG
rnacentral:rRNA from 1 species